rnacentral:rRNA from 1 species
GACAGAGGGUGCAAACGUUGUUCGGAAUUACUGGCGUAAAGCGCAUGUAGGCGGCCAGCACAAGUCAGUUGUGAAAUCUCCGAGCUUAACUCGGAAAGGUCAACUGAUACUGUGCGGCUAGAGUGCAGAAGGGGCAACUGGAAUUCUUGGUGUAGCGGUGAAAUGCGUAGAUAUCAAGAGGAACACCGGUGGCGAAGGCGGCUACCUGGACAGAAAACUGACGCUGGAGGCGCGAAAGCCUAGGGGAGCAAACAG